GGUUUUAUAGCAUAACGAAUAAUGCAUCAAAUUGCAAAUUUGAAUUAUAUGAGUUCAAAUCUCAUUAAAACUU
rnacentral:tRNA from 1 species